GCAGAGCGGGACAAGCCUCGGACCCUGCUCCCCAGUGGAAGCUUAAGGGCUGAAUUAAAAUGUCUGAAGGGCUGGAUGCAGCCCUUGCCCACCCAUGAGCCAGAACCUAAGUAGAAGGUUCUGGAGGAGCUGGAAGAGGGGCUGCAACUGACACACCCUAUUUAGAUGUAUGCCAGGGUCUCCCUCUCACCACAAAGAGACAGGUGUUGUUAGGGGAAUUUGUGAACCAGGUACAUGGCUCCAUGGAGCAGCUGCAGCUAAUAUCCCCAAUGGGACAUUGAACCAAAGUGGAGUACAGGCUGAUCCACCAGGGUCCCUUGCCUUCUGCUAGUGGCCACAGGUCUCACCAUUUAGUGUCAGGACAGCACACACGAGGGAGAGGAAGUGGAUAGCACGAAGCACAAGUGUAUACAGAUGUUCUCUGGGAAUGAUUCAGAAGUGGACCAGCUGGUUAUCAUGCAGCCAGCUCAGGUGGCUUGUGGGGCUGGGGCCCAGUGGCAAAUUUUGUAGGGUAAGGGUUGAAGGGGACCAUCAUCCUAAAGGGCCCACUGAAGGAAAGCAAGAAAAGCAGGAGGCUUGUCUACAUGAUGUGACACUAAAGUGCGAAGUUGGUGGACAGGAAUGUCCUGUCGAUCUGCAACUAUAGAUCCAUAAGUCGUUGUUGCUUGUGGAGAAGGUGUGCUGAGAGGCUGAAAUACCAGCACUGUUACUAAUGGGAGGAAAGAAGUCUCCAGCACAACUUGCUUAUUUGUGCUGGUUCCAAUAUUUGGCCUCACGAAUAUAAAUCUCAUGUGGAUGAUAUACCACACUAACCAACGGCCAAAAAGGACGGUGUGGAACUCUUUUGAUUUUAUCACUGGUACUUCUAAGUCAUCCACUAGGAGUCAUUAUUAUACAGUGAUUCUAGACUUG